rnacentral:tRNA from 1 species
GGGUAGCUAAGUGGCAGAGUGCUUGCCUAGCAUGCACGACGCCCUGGGUUCAAUCCUCAGCACCA